rnacentral:misc_RNA from 1 species
UACUUCUAAAGAGUGCACAGCAAGAGCGUACGCACGCACGCGCGCUCGCUGAGCUCGACCACUACCACCGCAAUACCAAUAUCCAAGCAAUAAGGACAGCGUGCACGCUGCCAACGCCACCGGCAGGGGGAGGGGCGUUUCAGCGAUGCACCGGGCUUCGCACCUUCGGCUUCGCCCGUGUAUGCUGUCGUCGUCGUCGUCGUCGUCAGCAGCAGCAGCAGCAGCAGCGCGGCGCUGCGGUCGCCGAUGCCGUCUCCCGCACAGCACUCAACCGUGGAUGCAGCUGCUGCUUCUGAGUCUUGCUCUCUUUCUGUUGGGCGCCGUCGACUUCGCGCUGCCGCGUUGUCGCGCCUCGCCGCUCUUUGCGAGGGCCGCAGGCGACGCGGGUUUUACCAACACCGCUGCCGCACCACCGCUGCUGGCGAUCUCCGAGACGGCGCUCAUCUCAGUUGACCUCGGACAGGAGAGCAUGAAGGUGAGUGCCUGGCGGGUUCAGCAGCAAGCGCCGCACAACGGGAUGGCGGAGGGCGGCGAUGCGGCAGCGGCGACAAGCACCGGGUCCGUGACGAUGGUGCUUAACGAUCAGGCGAACCGAAAAAGCCCACCGUGCGUGGCGUUUCGCUACUUCCGUGACCCGGUGGCGACCGCUGGCAGCGGUGGCGUCAGCACGGACGCAAGCCCGAGUGGACGUGGUGAUGGCGAGCAGCCCCCUGCGCAUCGUCCGUACACGGCACUGCAUCCGCGCGGCUACCAGCUAGAGCGAGCCUUUGCCGAGCAGGCUCAGGCGCUGGCGCCGCGCUUUCCGGAGCAGGUUGUGUGCAGCGCGGCACAGCUGCUCGGCUGCACGGCAGCCUCCACGAACGCGGCGACCGUGGAAUCCAGGGCAUGUGCGCUGACGUCGGAGCAGCUGACGACGGCAUACAGCUGUCAUGUGGUGCCCCUCACGGCACUACGAUCGACAGGCACAACCACGGCGAACAUCAUGGAUAAGGCCCAGCAGCCGCGUGACAGCGUCGUCGGACGUCAAGCUCUUGGCGCGUACGUGCCCUUCUAUAUCACGAGCAACGCUCCUGGCCAGCAGUGGCGGCGGGCGGCAGGUGACCACAGCACUGGGAUCGCUGCCGCCGCCGAAGAGGAAGGGGUGCUCUUCUCAUCGGAGGAGCUCACGGCCAUGUUGCUUGGCCAUGCGCGUCGCAUGGCCGAGAAGACCGACGCGGCCGAUAACGCGCUCAGUGAGGAGGAUCAGCGGCUCUUGGCGGACAUGCGGCAAAACGCUGGCAGCGUUGAUGCCGCCGCGGGAGAGACGCGCGCAUCAGCCACCGUCCGCUACGCUGCGCUGACCGUGCCCGCCCACGCCACCGUCGCGCAGCGGCAGGCGCUCGUGGAUGCGGCGGCUCUGGCCGGCUUGCGUGUGGUGCGCCUCGUCCACAGCACGGCCGGGGCAGCGGUGCAGCUGGCUUACCUGAAGGCGGAGCAGGUGCUGAAGGCGGACAAGGUGCAGUACGUCAUGAUCUACGACAUGGGCAGCCGGCACGCCGAGGUGGCUAUCUACAGCCUCGCGGCGCUGCCGGCGUCCGUGGCGAGUCGAGCAGGGCUGCAAGGCGACGUGGAGAUGCAGGCGCUUGUCGGCAGUCGCACGCUGGGCGGCGCCGCCUUUGACGAGUGUAUUGCCAACCACUGGGACGCGCGGUACUUCGGCCGGCGCGUGAUGAACGGUGUCCUCGCGGCCGCGGGCGGCCGUGACGCGGGGCGCCGCGAAGCAGCGAGGGAGCGCGGCAGCCUCCUCCGUGCCGCGCAGCGUGCGAAGGAAAUGCUGUCAGCCAACACCGAUGCGCAUGUCACCAUCGACGGCGUCCGCGCCGAUCCGUCGUACUUUGACGCGGUGGGGCGGCAGGAGCUGCGGCAGCGCCACGUCACCGUCACGGCGGACGGCGGCCUGUUGAGCCUCCGCCUCAUGCGCGGAGACUUUGAGGAGUGGUGCCGGCCUCUCUUCGACGCCGCCGUGGCGCUGCGAGACGAGGCCAUUGCCGCCACCGGCGGCGUCGUCAAGAGCCUCGGCGCGCUCGACCGUUUCGAGGUCAUCGGUGGCGGGACGCGAGUGCCGCGGCUGCUGCAGCGCCUCGGCGAGGGCUACCGCAGCGGCGUCGUGGACCGCACCCUCAACAGCGAUGAGGCGGCCGUCAUGGGCACAACGCUGCUGGCCGUGUCGAGCGCGCCGCGGACGCUUGGGCUGCACCUCGGUCAGGCCCUGCCGCGUUACCACGUGCGCGAGUGGCUGACCAGCGCUGUUUACGCCUCGAUGGAGCUGCACAGCACAGGGAUCGUAGCGGCAGCAGCGCCAUCGGAGGUUCAGAUCCUGUUCGCUGCACGGAAAACAACCCUUCCGGCGACGCGCAGUGUGCGUGUGCGACUGCCGGAUGUGGAUGGCUCACCGGCCGACAAGGUCGUUAUCACGUUGUACUCGGGUGCCGAGGCGGACAGCGCCUACGCCCACAGCAUGCGCUCCGGCGCGGCUGUCGCGGCGGGGUCGGCGCGCGCUGCUGCCUCACCUACGUCGAUGGCGAACUGCACCGGCUGCUACGUGCGCACCUGCACCGUGGAGGGCGUGCGCAAGGCCGCCGAGCAGCUGCUCGGGCCGUACACGCAGCAGAAGACUCAGCACGGCAGUGCGAGGCCACGCCGUGAGCACGUUCGCCUGGCCGGUGCGGAGGUGGUCGUCGAGGUUGUCGCCACCGUCAGUGGCAUCCCGCACUGCAGCGUUGCUUACCUACGCGCCGAGGUGGAGGAAGCGGGGGUGGACCCCGAUGCCGCAGAGGACGUCCAUGGCAGCAACGCAGCCGCAGGGGCAGCGGCAGUGGCGUCUCUCCAGAGCAGCCAUCACGACGGCAUAGCCGCUGGCGUGCCACCGGCCACGCAGCGUGACGAACCGGGCGAGGGCGUGAGAGACAAACACGAGAUGAACGCCAACGAGGAAAAAGUGAAGCACACCGAUGCACGCGUGACCGCGAAGGGGACUGCCGAUCCCACCACCGUCGACGCGACCGCGACCGCGACGCCGCCGCAAGUGCAGGUGCACGUCAUCGCACUCUCUCUGCGUGUGUCGAGCGGUGCCGCCACGGCUGGCGCAGCGGUGCACGGACCCCGCUAUAACAUGGACUUCGCAGAGCUCACCUUCUCGCACCGGCGGGUGCGGCAGCUUCAAGCGCUGGACGACGUGCGGCUGCGGCGCAGCACUCUGCGCAACGAGAUCGAGAGUGUGCUCGUGUGGAUCAAGGAGAACAACCCCACGUGGGACGCCGAAGAUGUGCAGGGCGACGCGUCCCCGUCGUCUCUUGCCCGGCAGACGUGGCGCACCACCGUUCGUGAGGUAGGCGGGUGGCUCGACAACUUCGGCGACACCGCAAGCGCCACCGCGCUUGAGGAACGUCUGCGCAUCAUUUCCGGUGUCAAGGCAGCCUUGCGUGAGGCGGCCUGACACGAGUCGAGGCACCACCCAAGGUAAAGAAAGAGGGAGGAAGAGGGGUGGGGGGCUGGUGGCACGCAGGCAGACCCAGAGACAACUCGGCUGCCGGGAGAGGAGGGGCAGUAGACGGAGAAGGGGGGGAGAGGGCGAGUCGUUGACGACGCUCUGCACGCCUGCCUCGUACCGGACGCCGACGGUGCGGCCCGCGCGCUCCUUCGACAGCAACGGCAACCACUGUCGUCGCCGCCACCACCACCCUCCCCUUCACCAUCGCCAGCACGCCGAUUCUAUUUCCAUGGUCGCCACAUGGGCGCGCUGCCGUCGUCGUCGUUGGUGUCUCUCAUGUUGCCUAGCAAAUGUCUUCGUUAUGUUUCGUUGCCGCAGGGAGGAAGGGGAGGGGGCGCACUGCGCACAUGGAGCACACGCCCACGGAGGAGGAGCACAUGGAGAACGCGAGGCCGAGAUG